rnacentral:misc_RNA from 1 species
UAAAGGACCAAUUUUGCACCCUUCUUCCCUAAACUUAUAGUGAAAGAUCAAUUGUUCCCUUAAAUUUUAGUCUAAUUAGACUCUUUUUAGUUUUUCUUUUGGUAAACUACAAUUUAGUCCUUGACAUUUGAUUAAACUUACAACUUAGCCUUAUAGUUUUAAAACUAACCAAUUUAGUUAUUAACAUUUUAAUAAAUCCACAAGUUAGUCCCUGCCAUUAGAA